rnacentral:rRNA from 1 species
GACGAACGCUGGCGGCGUGCUUAACACAUGCAAGUCGAACGGAAAGGCCCUGCUUGCAGGGUGCUCGCGUGGCGAACGGGUGAGUAACACGUGGGUGAUCUGCCCCUUACUUUGGGAUAAGCCUGGGAAACUGGGUCUAAUACUGGAUAGGACCAUGCUGUAGGUGGUGUGGUGGAAAGAUUAGUUUCGGUAAGGGAUGAGCUCGCGGCCUAUCAGCUUGUUGGUGGGGUAAUGGCCGACCAAGGCCUGGACGGGUAGCCGGCCAGAGAGGGUGGACGGCCACAUUGGGACUGAGACACGGGCCAGACGCCGGCGGGAGGCAGCAGUGGGGAAUAUUGCACAAUGGGCGCAAGCCUGAUGCAGCGACGCCGCGUGGAGGAUGACGGCCUUCGGGUUGUAAACUCCUUUCGGCCAUGACGAAGCGCUUGUGGUGACGGUAGUGGUAGAAGAAGCACCGGCUAACUACGUG